UGAAGUUAUUCUUAUAAAAUGCAUUCCUGGAUAGUUUUGAAGAUAUUAGUGAACACUUUAUCCACUCAAUUCAUUAUUUCUUUAUUAUAACUGUAUUUUACGACGAAAGUUAACUUGAGAAGCUAAGUUGAGAUCAAGAGCGAUUUAAGAGGGAAGUCGAACAUCUUCAAAAUUCAUUGUAUCAUCUUGGGUGAAUAUUGCGAUUAAAACUGUGCUAAAAGAAAAACGGUUAAUACAAACAAUUAUUUUUUAAAAUAGAGGUAAUUAAAUAAUAAAAAAAUGGACUAUAUCACCGUCAUUGAAUUUAAAACUGCUAAAAUAAUCCAAAGCUUACCUGGAAUUUCAACUCGCAGACUUUCAAGACAAAAACUCAGCAAUGUCAGUAACCACAACUACACUUUUAAAGCGUGACUAAAUCGUAUUCAAGAAAUGCGCGGGUGGAACUUGAAAACUCGG